UGGAUCCAGACUUUGAUUCUGGCUCAGGACGAACGCUGGCGGCGUGCCUAACACAUGCAAGUCGAACGGAACUAUUUUAAAAGAUUUCUUCGGAAUGAUUUUGGCUUAGUUUAGUGGCGGACGGGUGAGUAACGCGUGAGUAACCUGCCUUCAAGAGGGGGAUAACGUUCUGAAAAGGACGCUAAUACCGCAUAACAUAUCGGAAUCGCAUGGUUCUGAUAUCAAAGAUUUUAUCGCUUGAAGAUGGACUCGCGUCCGAUUAGUUAGUUGGUGAGGUAACGGCUCACCAAGACCGCGAUCGGUAGCCGGACUGAGAGGUUGAACGGCCACAUUGGGACUGAGACACGGCCCAGACUCCUACGGGAGGCAGCAGUGGGGGAUAUUGCGCAAUGGGGGCAACCCUGACGCAGCAACGCCGCGUGAAGGAUGAAGGUUUUCGGAUUGUAAACUUCUUUUCUUAAGGACGAAAAUUGACGGUACUUAAGGAAUAAGCUCCGGCUAACUACGUGCCAGCAGCCGCGGUAAUACGUAGGGAGCAAGCGUUGUCCGGAUUUACUGGGUGUAAAGGGUGCGUAGGCGGCAAUGCAAGUCAGACGUGAAAUCUAUGGGCUCAACCCAUAAACUGCAUUUGAAACUGCGUUGCUUGAGUGAAGUAGAGGCAGGCGGAAUUCCCCGUGUAGCGGUGUAAUGCGUAGAGAUGGGGAGGAACACCGGUGGCGAAGGCGGCCUGCUGGGCUUUAACUGACGCUGAGGCACGAAAGCGUGGGUAGCAAACAGGAUUAGAUACCCUGGUAGUCCACGCUGUAAACGAUGAUUACUAGGUGUGGGGGGUCUGACCCCUUCCGUGCCGGAGUUAACACAAUAAGUAAUCCACCUGGGGAGUACGGCCGCAAGGUUGCAACUCAAAUGAAUUGACGGA
rnacentral:rRNA from 1 species